ACAUCAGUUGCUUCAUCGUUCUCACGUAAACACAAACGUUAUAUACAAAUUAAAGCAAAUUUCUGCAGACUAUCCACCCUCCCCAGCCCCACACAGUUGUUAAACAUUGCUCUGCAACUGAGGAUCAACAUCAAUUCUCGCCACCCCUUCCUCCGCAAGUUUCGGCACCUCAACUUGGCCAACCACCAGUCCUUCAACCCCACUAACUUCCCCUCUCAAUAUCCUCUCCUCUGUCUCCUCGUCCACGAAGUUUGGAUCAUCCUCAUCUACGGCUGCCGGCGCUGCGUCCAGUUCAUUCGCCACCUCGUCCUCUGGCCCCUCCCACGUGAAUUUUCCUCCAUGGCCGCCCUUCGCCUGUUUUACCAACGGACGCCCGUCAACCGGGUGGCGGUCCUGUCUCUGAAUGCUUUGUCCACCAGUUUCUUCUCUAUGUGCUUUAGUGUGUCAAUGUUGUGUGUGUCCGUUUCAACUUUCUCUACGCGUUUUCGUCCCUCUUCGUCCCCGCUUACGGCUCGGAACGUCACCGUUUCCUUGGUGUCGUCGACUGGCUUCUGCAUUUUUGUGGGAAUAUGUAUAAUACAGUACAACUUGCCUAUGCUUGCCUGAAGGGAUUUCUUUUACAUAAGGAUGGAGAGAAGGUUAACGGUGGGAAUAGGUGGCUGAAGGUGGUGGACACAGCGCAAGGUGCUCGUACGAGGUUCUGCCAAUUGUGGGUUGAAGCCACGUGGCAUGUUCAAACAAGUUCAAG
rnacentral:lncRNA from 1 species